rfam:Nicotiana attenuata strain TT chromosome 8, whole genome shotgun sequence.
UGGAAAGAUUAUUGUAUUCAACAGUAUUCGACUGUAUUCACGGCGUGAAACAGGGGAUUACACUGUUUUUAAACGGAAAGUGAAUCAAUUAACAUAAUAGACUCCU